GCACAAGCGGUGGAGCAUGUGGUUCAAUUCGACGCAACGCGAAGAACCUUACCCAGGCUUGAACUGCGAGUGACAACCUACGAAAGUAGGCUUCCGCAAGGACGCUCGUAGAGGUGCUGCAUGGCUGUCGUCAGCUCGUGUCGUGAGAUGUUGGGUUAAGUCCCGCAACGAGCGCAACCCUUGUCUUCUGUUGCCAUCGGGUUAUGCCGGGCACUCUGAAGAGACUGCCGGUGACAAACCGGAGGAAGGUGGGGAUGACGUCAAGUCAGCAUGGCCUUUAUGUCUGGGGCCACACACGUGCUACAAUGGCCGGUACAAACCGUCGCGAGCCCGCGAGGGGGAGCUAAUCGGAGAAAGCCGGUCUCAGUUCGGAUUGUAGGCUGCAACUCGCCUGCAUGAAGUUGGAAUCGCUAGUAAUCGCGGAUCAGCACGCCGCGGUGAAUACGUUCCCGGGC
rnacentral:rRNA from 1 species